AGCACACUGAGUAUGCAGCGGGACACCGUACAGUCACAGAGUCAUUAAGAAAGAAACUCCGUGACUACAAUCUGAAAAUCCUUGUUCUCUGACUCAGCUCCAUCAGUUUGAUGGCUGCAGUUUUCAGAAGACCUUGGAAUGAAGGAGCCACGCUCCUUCAGGAAGCUCAGACCUCACUCUCUGGAGACGAGCAUGAGAUGCUUUAAUUUCUCUCAUCAUCAGCUACACAUACAGCCCCCAACAGUGGAACAAAAUGCUUUACAGAAAUAGCAACGUCAUCACCACAGCUUCCCACCAGCCGUUGCAACACACUACCUGUGUGUGUUCCAUAUUAUAAAGAAAGAUUUUUUUGUGUGUCUUCCAUAGAAUUUAUUAGAAGAGAGUUAUGUCGAGAAAAGAAGCCACUUCAUGAAGUUAUACAGAAAUCUCUCUAUGUCUCUCUAUACAAUAAAGCCCAAAUAACAGUUGUGUUCCCAUGAGGGAGUUUCUGACACGGAAUAUGCUGCCAGCAUAUCAUAUCCCCAGGAGAAUUUUGCAAAAUCUCAAACCACCUCACUGCUGCAAGAAGGUUUGUGUGAUGUGAUAGCAUAGAAGGUCCUCUUAUAGCUUGCAGGCUGGUUAAGGAGGCGAAAACAAAAUGGAGGGGUCAAUGGCCACUUUUCAAAUGGGGGAAAAUGCUACUCUGAUUUGGGAUCUGUGUUACUCAGUAUCAUCAAAAAGCAUCAGUCCUUCAAUAAUAGUUAAAACAAGAAUCAACUGGAAGGAAAAAAAAAAAAAACAACAGCAGAGAGAUUUCACAGGAGUGACUAAUUUGCUGAUAAAAUGAUAACUGAAGCAACUAAUUUGUAUGAUAUAUACAUUAGCUGUAGCUUCCCAGGAAAGACAUUUUGGAGUCAUUUUAAGUAGUACUCUGAAAACCCCAUCUCAGUGUUCAAGGGUAAUCAAGCAAACAGCUGGGAUGAGCUCAUUAGGAAAACAGAAAUGUCAGCAUGCUACUAUAUAAAUCCAUAGUACACCCAGUGAAUGUAUACUCUGUAUUAACAACAUUCCUUCAGAAAGGAUGGAAUGGAAAGAGGAAAGGUAUAAACCCCAACUUUGUAAUGAGGAGAGAGCUAGCUCAAUUGGAUUUUCUGCUGGAAAAGAGCAAAGCUGUGUAUAGGGUGGUAUUUAGGUUAAUGGACAUAGUUCUCCACCAUUUCACAUGAAACUAGAGCUAUGGGGGAGCUGGUUUAAAAUAAGCACAAGAGAAUACUUUUUCACAUGAUUUCUAAAAGUGAAACCCAUUGUUACAAGAUGCCAAAAGUCCAGAAGAAUAAAAGAGCAGUUUGAUAACUGUUUUCAAAGACCUUUAAACAAGGCUGUCCAAAGCGUUUUAGAAGUAUCCGAAGAUCAGAGAAGCCCUAAACUUCUGAUGCCUUGAAGAGUGUUUAUUGAUGAAAUAAUACCUAUGCUGUUCUUGAUCUUUCUCUAGGCAUCUAGCAGUGGAAGAAAUGAACUAUGCAGACCUUUAGUGUGACCUAUAUUUCAUAUACUAAAGAUUUCCUCCCCUUGGUUAACCGAAGAUCCUUUUGAUUCCAACCUUGGUGAUCUAUGCAGUUUUUGCAUUGUAUCUAAGAAUGAGACUGUAUUAUAACCAACUUUCUCAUUCCUUUUUCCUUCCCAGUAUGUACAUACUGCUGUGGUAUGACAGAGUUGGACAGCCUUUCAUUGCAGUCUUGAUACCAGUCAUCCCCUAUUCUCAUUUAUUUAAAGGCAUUGAUGUUUUCCAAAAU
ensembl:lncRNA